rnacentral:rRNA from 2 species
UGUGUUCAAGUUUUUGAGGGCGCACGGUGGAUGCCUUGGCAUCAGGAGCCGAUGAAGGACGUGGGAGCCUGCGAUAUGCCUCGGGGAGUCGGCAACCAGACUUUGAUCCGGGGAUGUCCGAAUGGGGAAACCUGGCACUCGUUAUGGGGUGUCGCCGCCGUCUGAAUGUAUAGGGCGGUUGGUGGGAACGCGGGGAAGUGAAACAUCUCAGUACCCGCAGGAAGAGAAAACAAUAGUGAUUCCCUGAGUAGUGGUGAGCGAAAGGGGAUGAGGCUAAACCUUGUGCGUGUGAUACCCGGCAGGGGUUGCGUAUGGGGGGUUGUGGGAUGUGCCUGUGUCUGGUCUGCCGGCUGGGCGGGGAGUGAGAAAAGGUGUGUGUAGCUGAAUGGUUUGGGAUGGCCGACCGUAGACGGUGAGAGUCCGGUAGGUGAAACGCAUACCUCUCCCUUGGGUGUUUUCCCGAGUAGCACGGGGCUCGUGGAAUCUCGUGUGAAUCUGCCAGGACCACCUGGUAAGCCUAAAUACUUCCUGAUGACCGAUAGCGGACCAGUACCGUGAGGGAAAGGUGAAAAGUGCCCCGGUGAGGGGUCGUGAAAGAGUACCUGAAACCGUGUGCCUACAAGCCGUCAGAGCCUGCACCCAGGAUGCGUCCUGGGGGGUGCGGUGAUGGCGUGCCUUUUGAAGAAUGAGCCUGCGAGUUAUGGUGUGUGGCGAGGUUAACCCGUGGGGGGUAGCCGUAGCGAAAGCGAGUCUGAAGAGGGCGUUUGAGUCGCAUGCUGUAGACCCGAAGCGGAGUGAUCUAGCCAUGGGCAGGGUGAAGCGCCGGUAAGACGGUGUGGAGGCCCGAACCCACCAGGGUUGAAAACCUGGGGGAUGACCUGUGGUUAGGGGUGAAAGGCCAAUCAAACUCCGUGAUAGCUGGUUCUCCCCGAAAUGCAUUUAGGUGCAGCGUCACGUGUUUCUUGCCGGAGGUAGAGCUACUGGAUGGCCUAGGGGCCUUACCGGGUUACCGAAGUCAGCCAAACUCCGAAUGCCGGUAAGUGAGAGCGUGGCAGUGAGACUGCGGGCGAUAAGGUUCGUAGUCGAGAGGGAAACAGCCCAGAUCAUCGGUUAAGGCCCCUAAGCGUGUGCUAAGUGGGAAAGGAUGUGGAGUUGCGAUGACAACCAGGAGGUUGGCUUAGAAGCAGCCACCCUUGAAAGAGUGCGUAAUAGCUCACUGGUCAAGUGAUUCCGCGCCGAUAAUGUAGCGGGGCUCAAGCACACCGCCGAAACCGUGGCACUCCAACCUUGUUGGGGUGGGUAGGGGAGCGUCCUGUUCGCCGGUGAAGCAUCAGGGUGACCUGGUGUGGAGGGUUCAGGAGUGAGAAUGCAGGCAUGAGUAGCGCAUGAGCAGUGAGAAACUGCUCCGCCGGAUGACCAAGGGUUCCUGGGGCAGGCUAAUCCGCCCAGGGUAAGUCGGGACCUAAGGCGAGGCCGAGAGGCGUAGUCGAUGGACAACGGGUUGAUAUUCCCGUACCCGCUGGCACGCGCCCAUGCUGAACCCGCUGAUGCUAACCACCCAAACCUUCUUUCGGGCCUUCGGGCCUGGUUGUAGGGGGAGGCUGGGACCCGAGGUGGUAGUAGGCAAGCGAUGGGGUGACGCAGGAGGGUAGCUCAGCCCAGGCGAUGGUUGUCCUGGGGUAAGCAUGUAGCCCGCACCGCAGGUAAAUCCGUGGUGCGCACAGGGUGAGAUGUGAUGCCGAGCCGUUUUAGGUGAAGUGAGUGAUCCCAUGCUGCCAAGAAAAGCCUCUAGCGAGUGUGUCGGUGGCCCGUACCCCAAACCGACUCAGGUGGUCAGGUAGAGAAUACCAAGGCGAUCGGGUGAACUGUGGUUAAGGAACUCGGCAAAUUACCCCCGUAACUUUGGGAGAAGGGGGACCCCUGCUGGUGACCGAACUUGCUUUGUGAGCUGGUGGGGGUCGCAGUGACCAGGGGGAAGCGACUGUUUACUAAAAACACAGGUCCGUGCGAAGUCGUAAGACGCUGUAUACGGACUGACGCCUGCCCGGUGCCGGAACGUUAAGAGGACCGGUUAGAGGAGUUUACUUCUCGAAGCUGAGAAUCUAAGCGCCGGUAAACGGCGGUGGUAACUAUAACCAUCCUAAGGUAGCGAAAUUCCUUGUCGGGUAAGUUCCGACCUGCACGAAUGGCGUAACGACUUCCCCGCUGUCUCAACCACAGGCCCGGCGAAAUUGCAGUACGAGUAAAGAUGCUCGUUACGCGCAGCAGGACGGAAAGACCCCGGGACCUUCACUAUAGCUUGGCAUUGGCGUUUGGAACGGUUUGUGUAGGAUAGGUGGGAGACUGUGAAGCGGGUACGCCAGUAUCCGUGGAGUCGUUGGUGAAAUACCACUCUGGUCGUUUUGAGCGUCUAACCCGCGCCCGUGAUCCGGGUGGGGGACAGUGCCUGGUGGGUAGUUUAACUGGGGCGGUUGCCUCCUAAAAGGUAACGGAGGCGCCCAAAGGUUCCCUCAGCCUGGUUGGUCAUCAGGUGGCGAGUGCAAGGGCACAAGGGAGCUUGACUGUGAGACGGACGUGUCGAGCAGGUGCGAAAGCAGGGCCUAGUGAUCCGGCAUCUACGUGUGGAAGUGGUGUCGCUCAACGGCUAAAAGGUACCCCGGGGAUAACAGGCUGAUCUUCCCCAAGAGUCCAUAUCGACGGGAUGGUUUGGCACCUCGAUGUCGGCUCGUCGCAUCCUGGGGCUGGAGUAGGUCCCAAGGGUUGGGCUGUUCGCCCAUUAAAGCGGCACGCGAGCUGGGUUUAGAACGUCGUGAGACAGUUCGGUCCCUAUCCGCUGCGCGCGUAGGAGACUUGCAAGGAUCUGUCCCUAGUACGAGAGGACCGGGACGGACGAACCUCUGGUGUGCCAGUUGUCCCGCCCGGGGCACGGCUGGUUGGCUACGUUCGGACGGGAUAACCGCUGAAAGCAUCUAAGCGGGAAGCCUUCCUUAAGAUGAGGUCUCCCCCC